rnacentral:lncRNA from 1 species
UCUUUGUUCGUAUUUUUAGACCAUCCAAAUAUUUGUUUACACAUUUCCUGUGGAGAACAUACCCUUUGUAGCACUGCUGCUACAUCAGCCCACUCCCAAUUUAUUUUAGUAUCCACCAGCUGAUGGGAGACAGAUGGGUGCAGGUUUUGAGCAGAGGAAUGUUGCCCUGCCUCUGAUGGCAGUGAAAGGUGUCCUGCCCAACCUCUCAGGAGGUCAGAGCAGCUGUAGGAGAGUUUCUUCAGCCAAGCUACACUGUUCACAUCCAGCCUAUACAAUUGGUAGGGAAGGAAGCAGAAGAGAGCCUUCUGAGAGCUUCACUCAGUGCCGCCAAUUUAGACAAAUGACUGAAUCCCUUGCUGUAGCAGAGUCAAGUCAAAGACUUUGUGAACACGUGGAGACGGCAGUGGAAAGUCCUGGAUGGAGGAAGCCAGAAAGAGAGCUGGUAUCUUGUGACAGCAGAUCCUCCGAUAUGUAUCUGGUGAGAAAGGGGAUUUUGUGGAAAAUGGUUUGUGGGAUACAGAACUAAGUCAGCUGGGGAGGAAAUAGAAGACCUGAAAUCAGAGCAAGAAAGAAGAGAAAAGUUGUUCUUCUUUCAGUAUUCCCAUCCAGAAGAAAACAUCUCAGAUGAUCCAGACCACCAAACUAUGAAGCCUUGUCUAAUAUAUAGUUCCCAUAAACACAGGAAUUUUCUAUGUCAAGAAGGGCAUAGAGACACUAUGUCAAAUGAUAAAAUUGUAUAUAUUUCUGUAUACAGUUCAUAUGUCUAGGAUUUUUAUUUUCAGAAACCCCAUUGUUAAUGUGAACAUUUCACCAGUGUUGGAUGUUGCCCUGGGCAGCCUGGUCUAGUAUUACAUAUGGAGGUUGGUGGCCCUGCCUGUGGUGGGGAGGUUGGAGCUUGAUGAUCCUUGAGGUCCCUUCCAACCUAGGACAUUCUGUGAUUGUGUGAUUCUGUAGUAAGUUUGUCUUUCUGGACUGCAAAUGCACACUGCUGUCCCAUGUAGAAUUGAUUUAAUUUCCAUCAAUCGACACUCCCAACGUCCUUCUCAGGUCUGCUUUCAGUCCAUUCUCUGCCCAGCCCCUCUCUUGGCUUGGCAUUGUCCCAACCAAGUGUAGAACAGUACAUUUGAUUGUGAUGAAUUUCAAGUCAAACUGAGUCUUGGUGGUAUAAUGUUUGUUCCUUAUUUUUAACCAACUAAAAUCCUAUUGUUUGUCUGGAAUACAUAUACCCAUUCAUGAUGUCAGCAUAUAUUUAGUAAAUGACUAUCAUCACAAUAAAACACUCCACUCAAUUAAACA